UGGGCUCAGUAAUAGUUGAGACUCCAGAGACGGCUAACAGGUGUGUACAGUGGUGAAAGCCGAGAUGGGGGAACUGUUGCCCCAUGUGACCAAGGCCCAGCUCAGAAGCCAGAGAGAGUAAAGGUGGAGGACCCUGAGAGAAAUAUGGAACAGCGAUGUGGAUGGGUCAGGAUCCUCCUCACAGAAGUGAAGCUUCCUUUCCCUACCUUUCCCCUUCCCUAGUCUGGCAAACUUCUAUGACCUGCUCACCAAAGAGUAGAAGAUAGGCUGCCUGCCCUCCUCAGCUACGUGUCUCAGACCUUACUAUAUUAGCCAACAUCUGUACAGCUCUGAGAACUCAAAAGAACUAGGAGGACCCUGGAUCACUCCCCCAGCCAGCCAGAAUGUAAAUUGACACAUUCUGCCACCUUCAAGGAAGUCUAUUGGGAAAAAGGAUCUAAAUCCCAAGGGUGGAUGGGAAAGACGAUCAGGGUGGCCAUCCUUUCCUGCCACUGAAACUGACUCUCCUGAGUGCUCUCAUCUUGCAGAAUCCAGCUCACCCUCCCUGAGCAGACACUGUGAGGACUAAAGAUGAGCAAAAGUGCAAGACCAGGGCUCAGUACCUGGGGUUGGCUCUUCUGUCCUUCCCUUUUGUGAAAAAUAAAACAAAAAAAUUUUUUUCAU